rnacentral:rRNA from 1 species
AGAUUGAACGCUGGCGGCAUGCCUUACACAUGCAAGUCGAACGGCAGCACGGGAGCAAUCCUGGUGGCGAGUGGCGAACGGGUGAGUAAUAUAUCGGAACGUGCCCAGUAGCGGGGGGAUAACUACGCGAAAGCGUGGCUAAUACCGCAUACGCCCUACGGGGGAAGGGGGGAUCGGCAAAGACCUCGUCGACUAUUGGAGCGGCCGAUAGUCAGAUUAGCUAGUUGGUGAGGUAGAGGCUCGACCAGGCGACGAUCCUGUAGCUGGUUUGACGAGGACACCGAGCCACACUGGGGACCUGGACACGACGGCCAGACCUCCGUAGGGAGCAGCGAGGUGGGUAUUUGAACAGUAGGGGAAACCCUGGACUCCAG